rnacentral:rRNA from 1 species
CGAUGAAGCCUUUCGGGGUGGAUUAGUGGCGAACGGGUGAGUAACACGUGGGCAAUCUGCCCUGCACUCUGGGACAAGCCCUGGAAACGGGGUCUAAUACCGGAUGAUACUUCUGCUCGCAUGGGUGGGGGUUGAAAGCUCCGGCGGUGCAGGAUGAGCCCGCGGCCUAUCAGCUUGUUGGUGAGGUAGUGGCUCACCAAGGCGACGACGGGUAGCCGGCCUGAGAGGGCGACCGGCCACACUGGGACUGAGACACGGCCCAGACUCCUACGGGAGGCAGCAGUGGGGAAUAUUGCACAAUGGGCGAAAGCCUGAUGCAGCGACGCCGCGUGAGGGAUGACGGCCUUCGGGUUGUAAACCUCUUUCAGCAGGGAAGAAGCGCAAGUGACGGUACCUGCAGAAGAAGCGCCGGCUAACUACGUGCCAGCAGCCGCGGUAAUACGUAGGGCGCAAGCGUUGUCCGGAAUUAUUGGGCGUAAAGAGCUCGUAGGCGGUCUGUCGCGUCGGAUGUGAAAGCCCGGGGCUUAACCCCGGGUCUGCAUUCGAUACGGGCAGACUAGAGUGUGGUAGGGGAGAUCGGAAUUCCUGGUGUAGCGGUGAAAUGCGCAGAUAUCAGGAGGAACACCGGUGGCG